rnacentral:lncRNA from 1 species
GAAAUUCUAGUACCAUGAUAUAGCAUGAUUUCAUGAAUGAUAUGUUGUUGAUGAACUUUGGUGUAUCAAUAUCUUGUUAUCUCUAGAUGAUUUGAAAUAUUGAAAUUUGCAUAAUUUUGGUUGAUGAUCAACAUGAUUUCUAGUUUAAGUUUCUUGUUGAAAACCAUAUUAAGUCGUUGGACAGAAUAGUAAGAUAAUCGAUU